rnacentral:pre_miRNA from 3 species
AUGUAGGACAGUUUGUCUUUAAGUAGGGAUAAAUUAGUCUAAAAAAAAAGGAAUCCUAGAUAGUUUUUUCUUCAAGUCAAGAAGCUUGU